rnacentral:rRNA from 1 species
UAGGGAACAUUGCACAAUGGGCGAAAGCCUGAUGCAGCAACGCCGCGUGCGCGAUGACGGCCUUCGGGUUGUAAAGCGCUUUUCGGGGAGAUGAGGAAGGACAGUAUCACCGGAAUAAGGCUCGGCUAACUACGAGCCAGCAGCCGCGGUAAAACGCAGGAGCCAAGCGUCAUUCGAAUUCACUGGGCGUAAAGCGCGUGUAGGCGGCUUGGUAAGUUGGAUGUGAAAGCUCCUGGCUCAACUGGGAGAGGACGUUCAAUACUGGCGGGCUAGAGGGCGAGAGGAGGAGGGGGAAUUCCCGGUGUAGUGGUGGAAUGCGUAGAUA